rnacentral:rRNA from 1 species
UACGGGGGGGGCAAGCGUUGUUCGGAAUUACUGGGCGUAAAGGGUUCGUAGGUGGCCAACUAAGUCAGACGUGAAAUCCCUCAGCUCAACUGGGGAACUGCGUCUGAUACUGGUCGGCUUGAGUGCAGGAGAGGAACGCGGAAUUCCAGGUGUAGCGGUGAAAUGCGUAGAUAUCUGGAGGAACACCGGUGGCGAAGGCGGCGUUCUGGACUGCAACUGACACUGAGGAACGAAAGCCAGGGGAGCAAACGGG